rnacentral:rRNA from 1 species
AGAGGCUACUGCUAUCGGGGUUCGAUUAAGCCAUGCGAGUUAAAUGUUCUUCGUGAACAUAGCGAACUGCUCAGUAACACGUGGAUAACCUACCCUUAGGACCGGAAUAACCCCGGGAAACUGGGGAUAAUACCGGAUAAGCCAUAGACGCUGGAAUGCCCUAUGGUUCAAAGCUCCGGCGCCUAAGGAUGGAUCUGCGGUCUAUCAGGUUGUAGUGGGUGUAACGUACCUACUAGCCGACGACGGAUACGGGUUGUGAGAGCAAGAGCCCGGAGAUGGAUUCUGAGACACGAAUCCAGGCCCUACGGGGUGCAGCAGGCGCGAACACUUUACAAUGCGGGAAACCGCGAUAAGGGAACCCCGAGUGCCAGCAUCAAAUGUUGGCUGUCCAGAUGAUUAAAAAUCAUUUGUUAGCAAGGGCCGGGCAAGACCGGUGCCAGCCGCCGCGGUAACACCGGCGGCCCGAGUGGUAGCCGUUUUUAUUGGGUCUAAAGGGUCCGUAGCCGGCCUGAUAAGUCCUUUGGGAAAUCUGGCAGCUUAACUGUCAGGCUUCUAAGGGAUACUGUCAGGCUUGGGACCGGAAGAGGUAAGGGGUACUCCAGGGGUAGGAGUGAAAUCUUGUAAUCCCUGGGGGACCAUCUGUGGCGAAGGCGCCUUACCAGAACGGGUCCGACGGUGAGGGACGAAAGCUAGGGGAGCAAACCGGAUUAGAUACCCGGGUAGUCCUAGCUGUAAACGAUGCUCGCUAGGUGUCAGACACGGUGCGACCGUGUUUGGUGCCGCAGGGNANCCGUUAAGCGAGCCACCUGGGAAGUACGGUCGCAAGGCUGAAACUUAA